AAUGAACGUUGGCGGCGUGGAUUAGGCAUGCAAGUCGAGCGAGAAGCCCCUUUCGGGGGGUGGAAAGCGGCGUAAGGGAGAGUAAUGUGUGGAUACUUACCUUCAGGUCUGGGAUAGCCGCGGGAAACUGCGGGUAAUACCGGAUAAUAUCCCCGGAUCAAAGGUGUGAUUCCGCCUGGGGAUGGGUCCACAUCCUAUUAGCUUGUUGGUGGGGUAAUGGCCUACCAAGGCCAAGAUGGGUAGCGGGGUGUGAGAGCAUGGCCCGUCUCACUGGGACUGAGACACUGCCCAGACACCUACGGGUGGCUGCAGUCGAGAAUCUUCCGCAAUGGGCGCAAGCCUGACGGAGCGACGCCGCGUGCGGGAUGAAGGCCUUCGGGUUGUAAACCGCUGUCAGAGGGGAGGAAAUGCAUAGGGGCACUCUCCUAUGUUUGACCCAUCCUCAGAGGAAGUCCGGGCUAAGUUCGUG
rnacentral:rRNA from 1 species